UCCAGUUUAAAUUCCAGUGCUAAAUACAGCUAAUCAUCUUCUGUGUGACAGUCAUGGUUCAUUCCAGUCUGAGACGUCUCUUCUGGAAGUACAAUCGACACCAGAGCCUUACAAACAUGGGCUGGACCCGCUGCAUCAUUUGGUUUCUGUGGUUUUCAGUGAGCGAGUGCCGGCAGCUGUCCAACACUGAGCCUGUCAUGCACGGACAAAUCCAGUCUCCCCAAUAUCCUCGA